AAGCUCGCGAGCUCGGUGACCCGUCUGUUUUGGAUAUAGCCCAUGUUUUUGGGCUCCCGGCCUUCUCUAUGCUUCUCUGGCGUAUCGUCUGCAUUUCGACACGGCACCACUGCACUACUGGACUACGGCAAGCUGAUGGCAUCUGGUGGAGCAUCGUACGGCAACGACUGUUGCUUACCUGGUGCCACAACUUUGGAUGAAUCCAGAAGAAGCCCGGAACGAGCAUUUAUAUAGAGCAAAAUAAACAUUUCAUCAUUUCAGAA
rnacentral:lncRNA from 1 species